GACGAACGCUGGCGGCGUGCUUAACACAUGCAAGUCGAACGGAAAGGCCCCUUUGGGGGUACUCGAGUGGCGAACGGGUGAGUAACACGUGAGUAACCUGCCCUUGACUUCGGGAUAACUUCAGGAAACUGGGGCUAAUACCGGAUAGGAAUCCUUGCUGCAUGGUGGGGGUUGGAAAGCUUCGGCGGUUUUGGAUGGACUCGCGGCUUAUCAGCUUGUUGGUGGGGUAGUGGCUUACCAAGGCUUUGACGGGUAGCCGGCCUGAGAGGGCGACCGGCCACAUUGGGACUGAGAUACGGCCCAGACUCCUACGGGAGGCAGCAGUGGGGAAUAUUGCACAAUGGGCGGGAGCCUGAUGCAGAAACGCCGCGUGCGGGAUGACGGCCUUCGGGUUGUAAACCGCUUUCAGCAGGGGCGAAGCUUGUGGUGACGGUACCUGCAGAAGAAGCACCGGCUAACUACGUG
rnacentral:rRNA from 1 species